GGUUUCGUGGUGUAGUUGGUUAUCACACCAGUCUAACACACUGGUGGUCCCCGGUUCGAACCCGGGCGAAAUCA
rnacentral:tRNA from 1 species